UACGUAGGGGCAAGCGUUGUCCGGAUUUAUUGGGCGUAAAGAGCGUGUAGGCGGCCAUACAGGUCAGCUGUGAAAACUCGAGGCUCAACCUCGAGACGUCGGUUGAAACCGUAUGGCUAGAGUCCGGAAGAGGAGAGUGGAAUUCCCGGUGUAGCGGUGAAAUGCGCAGAUAUCGGGAAGAACACCCGUGGCGAAGGCGGCUCUCUGGGACGGUACUGACGCUGAGACGCGAAAGCGUGGGGAGCGAACAGG
rnacentral:rRNA from 1 species